UACGAGAGGUCCAAACGUUAUUCGGAAUCACUGGGCUUACAGAGUUCGUAGGCGGUUCUACAAGUGGGGUGUGAAAGCCCUCGGCUCAACCGAGGAACUGCGCUCCAAACUGUAGAACUAGAGGGAGAUAGAGGUGAGCGGAACUGAUGGUGGAGCGGUGAAAUGCGUUGAUAUCAUCAGGAACACCGGAGGCGAAGGCGGCUCACUGGGUCUCUUCUGACGCUGAGGAACGAAAGCUAGGGGAGCGAACUGG
rnacentral:rRNA from 1 species